AACGAGCGCUGGCGGCAUGCCUAACACAUGCAAGUCGAACGAGACCUUCGGGUCUAGUGGCGCACGGGUGCGUAACGCGUGGGAACCUGCCUUUAGGUUUCGGAAUAACUCAGAGAAAUUUGAGCUAAUACCGGAUGAUGUCUUCGGACCAAAGAUUUAUCGCCUUUAGAUGGGCCCGCGUUGGAUUAGCUAGUUGGUGGGGUAAAGGCCUACCAAGGCGACGAUCCAUAGCUGGUCUGAGAGGAUGAUCAGCCACACUGGGACUGAGACACGGCCCAGACUCCUACGGGAGGCAGCAGUGGGGAAUAUUGGACAAUGGGCGAAAGCCUGAUCCAGCAAUGCCGCGUGAGUGAUGAA
rnacentral:rRNA from 1 species